UCUGCCUUAGUGCCUGGGAUAACCGUUGGAAACGAUGGCUAAUACCGGAUAGUUAAUUUUAUGGCAUCAUAUUAUUAUUAAAGUUGCGUAUGCAACACAUUAAGAUGAGCUUAUGGCGCAUUAGCUAGUUGGUGGGAUAAAAGCUUACCAAGGCGAUGAUGCGUAGCCGACCUGAGAGGGUGACCGGCCACACUGGGACUGAGACACGGCCCAGACUCCUACGGGAGGCAGCAGUAGGGAAUUAUCGGCAAUGGGCGCAAGCCUGACCGUGCAAUGCCGCGUGAGUGAUGAAGGCCUUCGGGUUGUAAAACUCUGUUGUAAGGGAAGAAUUGGUAGUAGAGGAAAUGCUAUUACUUUGACGGUACCUUACCAGAAAGCCACGGCUAACUACGUGCCAGCAGCCGCGGUAAUACGUAGGUGGCGAGCGUUAUCCGGAAUUAUUGGGCGUAAAGGGUGCGUAGGCGGCAUAUUAAGUCUGUGGUGAAAGUGCGGGGCUCAACUCCGUAUUGCCUUAGAAACUGGUAUGCUAGAGUGCAGGAGAGGGCAGUGGAAUUCCAUGUGUAGCGGUAAAAUGCGUAAAUAUAUGGAGGAACACCGGUGGCGAAGGCGGCUGCCUGGCCUGUAACUGACGCUGAGGCACGAAAGCGUGGGGAGCAAAUAGGAUUAGAUACCCUAGUAGUCCACGCCGUAAACGUUGAAUACUA
rnacentral:rRNA from 1 species